ACGAAAGAAAAAUAAUCGGAGUUCACAAUUCGAUCCCGAUUUAUACGAUCUGUGAAUUGACGCUUGGUUGGUGAAUAUGGCUGUUAGUGUCUUAUCUUCUAGCCAUUAAGAAAACUACUGUUCUCAUUUUCCUCAUUCUCCUUUGUCCCAGGUAUUUAUUCUCUACGCAUUGUAUAUUCUUUCUCUCAAUAAAGAUGCAUGAUUUGUGUAAACUAUUGCUGUCUUUAUUGUCUUUUGUAUCGAAAGAUUUCAAUCAGCCAUUCUUAUUCACACUUGAACCACUGCACGACUAUAGUAGGCUAAUGCCUGUACAGAUUGUCCUACUGGAUCCACACAAUUUUGUACAUCAGAUUUGUAUUCCUGAAGUCAUGAAUAUACUGGUUGGCAUUCUAUUUUUUUGGAUAUGACUGCUAUUAGUGCUAUUAGUAUUAUUAUACUGCAUAAAUGCUAAUUGAUAAUUACUGAUAUUAAAUUACCAAUUAGCAUUUAUUUAUUUAAUUUUAAAACGGGUAACUGAUUGUUAAAGCUAAUAAGAACUUUUAACCACCAGUUAAUUGUAAAACUGAGCAUUAGUGACCACAUUUAUUCUAAUAGUAAAAUUGGAUUUGGAAAAAUUUUUUAAUUAUAAAGAAAUGAUCAAUUUAUUUCAAUAAAUAUAUUGUUUUAAUAUUUGAAAGUUGGUGAUCAGCUUACAUAUGAAUCUAUUUUUUAGUAACUUUUUAAAAUCAGAUAGGGAUUAGCUUAGACACAGGUAUACAGGGUGCCCACGUUUCGGUGGACCAGGCAUUUUUCUCGAAAACUGUCGGG
rnacentral:lncRNA from 1 species